rnacentral:rRNA from 1 species
GCUGCAACUCGCCUGCAUGAAGUCGGAAUUGCUAGUAAUCGUAGGUCAGCAUACUACGGUGAAUACGUCCCCGGGCCUUGUACACACCGCCCGUCAAACCAUGAGAGUUGGCAACACCCGAAGUCGGUAGUCUAACCGCAAGGAGGACGCCGCCGAAGGUGGGGUUGAUGAUUAGGGUUAAGUCGUAACAAGGUAUC